rnacentral:rRNA from 1 species
GCUAAUCAAUAAGCGGGAGGAAAAAGAUACCUACAGGGAUUGCCGUAGUAACGGCGAGUGAACAGGCAAGAGCUCAGAUUUGAAAGGCACUUUUGUGCCGUUGUAUUCUGAAGUUAGGGUCCUGAGAUAACGAUGCUUAAGUCUUCUGGAAAGGAGCGCCAUGGAGGGUGAUAGCCCCGUCUAGCAUUGACCUCAUAUAGGAUCUUAACAUGGAGUCGAGUUGUUUGGGAAUGCAGCUCAAAUGGGUGGUAUGCUCCAUCUAAAGCUAAAUAUCUGCGAGAGACCGAUAGUAAACAAGUACUGUGAGGGAAAGAUGAAAAGAACUUUGAAAAGAGAGUGAAAAAGUACGUGAAAUUGUUGAAAUGGAAGGGUAGGCCGCUAACCAUGUAGAGCCGUGUUUGGGGGGAAGAUAAAUGCUGUAGAAUGUAGCUCCUCGGAGUAUUCAUAGAUGCAGUUCAUAUUCCCAACCCGAGUCGUCGUAGGAUCUCAGUUUCUACUAAAUGUUGUCUAUCCACCUGUUUCCA